AUGCUGAGUAUAUGUUUUGUAAAUUAAUUGGAAAAAUGUCAAUAUAGAAGAACAUAUUUAAUGCUCAGAUAUCUGAGAGGUUUUGAGAAAGAGGUAGAGGUGUAGAAAGAGGAGACAGAGGCAUAGAAAGAGGUGACAGGUGUAGAAAGAGGAGACAGAGGUGUAGAAAGAGGAGACAGGUGUGGAAAGAGGAGGUAGAGGCAUAGAAAGAGGAGGUAGAGGUGUAGAAAGAGGAGGUAGAGGUGUAGAAAGAGGAGACAGAGGUGUGGAAAGAGGAGAUAGAGGUGUAGAAAGAGGAGACAGAGGUGUAGAAAGAGGAGACAGAGGUGUAGAAAGAGGAGACAGGUGUGGAAAGAGGAGGUAGAGGAAUAGAAAGAGGAGGUAGAGGUGUGGAAAGAGGAGGUAGAGGUGUAGAAAGAGGAGACAGAGGUGUGGAAAGAGGAGGUAGAGGCGUAGAAAGAGGAGACCGAGGCAUAGAAAGAGGAGAUAGAGGUGUAGAAAGAGGAGACAAGAGGCGUAGAAAGAGGAGACCGAGGCAUAGAAAGAGGAGAUAGAGGUGUAGAAAGAGGAGGUAGUGAUUUAGGAGACUGUAGAAGUGA
ensembl:lncRNA